rnacentral:rRNA from 1 species
GAUGAACGCUGGCGGCGUGCCUAAUACAUGCAAGUCGAGCGAACGGACGAGAAGCUUGCUUCUCUGAUGUUAGCGGCGGACGGGUGAGUAACACGUGGAUAACCUACCUAUAAGACUGGGAUAACUUCGGGAAACCGGAGCUAAUACCGGAUAAUAUUUUGAACCGCAUGGUUCAAAAGUAAAAGACGGUCUUGCUGUCACUUAUAGAUGGAUCCGCGCUACAUUAGCUAGUUGGUAAGGUAACGGCUUACCAAGGCAACGAUGCAUAGCCGACCUGAGAGGGUGAUCGGCCACACUGGAACUGAGACACGGUCCAGACUCCUACGGGAGGCAGCAGUAGGGAAUCUUCCGCAAUGGGCGAAAGCCUGACGGAGCAACGCCGCGUGAGUGAUGAAGGUCUUCGGAUCGUAAAACUCUGUUAUUAUGGAAGAACAUAUGUGUAAGUAACUGUGCACAUCUUGACGGUACCUAAUCAGAAAGCCACGGCUAACUACGUG